rnacentral:tmRNA from 1 species
GGGGGCGACUGGAUUCGACGGGUCUAGUGAAGAUUCCGAGGCGUGCCCAGGUUCCCGGUACCCUGGAUAAACCACUGGGGCAAAGCACAACUGCCAAUACUGAGUUGGCUCUGGCUGCCUAAGCUACGCGCUUAGAGCACCUGCCCGCGUGGCAGCCUGGCCCAAGGCGGCGCGCGGGUAUCGAAAAAUCGGGCUGGUGACACACGACGCUUCCGCGUGCGUUGCGAGAUUCUAAGGGAGCUUGUUCGCGAGCCGGGGGGUUGCGACCCGACGCGCGGAGACUGCAAACGCAACCUACGCACGUAGGCUUGGUUUUGGAUCGAGGCUCGGACCGGGGUUCGAUUCCCCGCGCCUCCAUCA